rnacentral:rRNA from 1 species
AUGACAAGGAAGCAGUGGUGUUCUCUUGUUUCUCAUCCUCACUGUGAUAUUUGCCCGGCUGCUGAGUCCGUCAAUCACAUCCUUUUGCGCUGCGUACCGGCUGAUGCAGUUUGGAGCAAGUUGAAUAUGGCCAAUCAUGCAUCCUGCUCCCCAGACAUUCUGGAGUUUGUGCAACAAUUACAGCUCUGUUGGCCUGCUGCCACAAAAAUGCAUGUUCUUUUUGCUGCUUGUGCUGUCACGCUAUGGCACGCUAGAAAUGACAGGGUUUUUCAUCUCAAGCGCUGGUCACCAUCCUACACCAGAUAA